rnacentral:rRNA from 1 species
GAUGAACGCUAGCGGCAGGCUUAAUACAUGCAAGUCGAGGGGCAGCAUGGUGGUAGCAAUACCACUGAUGGCGACCGGCAAACGGGUGCGGAACACGUACGCAACUUACCCUUAACUGGGGGAUAGCCCGGGGAAACCCGGAUUAAUACCUCGUAACAUAUUGUGGUGGCAUCACCAUAUUAUUAUAGCUUUAUUGUGGUUAAGGAUGGGCGUGCGGCUGAUUAGGUAGUUGGCAGGGAACGGCCUACCAAGCCUGCGAUCAGUAACUGGUGUGAGAGCACGACCAGUCACACGGGCACUGAGACACGGGCCCGACUCCUACGGGAGGCAGCAGUAAGGAAUAUUGGUCAAUGGACGCAAGUCUGAACCAGCCAUGCCGCGUGGAGGAUGAAGGCCCUCUGGGUUGUAAACUUUCUUUUUAUCUGGGACCGAAACCACCCUUUUCUAAGGGUGUUGACGGUACCAGAGGAAUAAGCA